rnacentral:rRNA from 1 species
UAACCUUCUAAAUAGCCCAGUCCGCUUUUGCGGACUGCUGGCUUCUUAGAGGGACUAUCGGCUCAAGCCGAUGGAAGUUUGAGGCAAUAACAGGUCUGUGAUGCCCUUAGAUGUCCUGGGCCGCACGCGCGCUACACUGACAGAGCCAACGAGUUCAUUUCCUUAGCCGAAAGGUUUGGGUAAUCUUGUUAAACUCUGUCGUGCUGGGGAUAGAGCAUUGCAAUUAUUGCCCUUCAACGAGGAAUGCCUAGUAAGCGCAUGUCAUCAGCAUGCGUUGAUUACGUCCCUGCCC